rnacentral:rRNA from 1 species
UACGGAGGAUGCAAGCGUUAUCCGGAUUCAUUGGGUUUAAAGGGUGCGCAGGUUGUUUGAUAAGUCAGUGGUGAAAGUCUGUCGCUUAACGGUAGGAUUGCCAUUGAUACUGUUAGACUUGAAUAUGGAUGAGGUAGGCGGAAUGUGUAGUGUAGCGGUGAAAUGCAUAGAUAUUACGCAGAACACCGAUUGCGAAGGCAGCUUACUAAUCCAUCAUUGACGCUGAGGCACGAAAGCGUGGGGAUCAAA